ACGAUAACUUUGCAAUUUUUUUCCGGCUUCAUUGGAAUACAUUUUGAUGGGUCUUACGUCUGGUACGAGAAAAGCUGUCGGCACGUUGAUGUAUUCAGUUCAACUUCACACAUCUUAUACUACACAAAGCCCAGCUAAUAUCUAGAAGCCUAUCGUACAAUAUCCAGCUUGGAGCUGAGUCUAAAUAGCUUGGAACGAGCCUAGGCUAAAUAAUUCGGAGCCUAGUCAAAUAGUAUUAAUGGUCAUGACUAUACUCUUCAUAGUCAUGAUUAUAGUCUUAAUAGUCAUUACUAUAGGAAGAUAUAAUAUAAGGAAGAUAAGCAAGAUAAAGACAAGGAAGAUAAGAAGAUAAAGAUAAGGAAGAUAAAGAUCAGAAGAUAAAGAAGAUAAGGAUAAGUAAGAUAAGCAAGAUAAAGACAAGGAAGAUAAGAAGAUAAAGAUAAAGAUAAAGAUAAAGAAGAUAAGGAUAAGCAAGAUAAGCAAGAUAAGCAAGAUAAAGACAAGGAAGAUAAGAAGAUAAAGAUAAGGAGGAUAAAGAUAAGAAAGAUAAAAAGAUAAAGAUAAAGAUAAAGAUAAAGAUAAAGAUAAAGAAGAUAAGCAAGAUAAAGACAAGGAAGAUAAGAAGAUAAAGAUAAGGAAAAGGAAGAUAAGGAUAAGGAAGAUAUGGAAGCUACAGAUAUGGAAGAUAAGGAUAAGGAAGAUCACAAGAUAAAGACAAGGAAGACAAGAAGAUAAGGAAAAGGAAGACAACGAAGAUAAGGAUAAGGAAGAUAAGAAGAAUGGAAAUUUUCAGUAGAAUGUUUAUACAUUUAUUAGACCUGACCAGGAAUGCCCAAAAUUCUGAUAUUUACCCACACCUCCUACAUUGGAAUCACCUUAGUAUUUAUACACAAACUUGUGGUUAGAGCUCUACAACUGUCUCUUUGUGCUCAAUUGGCCAUGUUAGACGCUUAGAGCGCUGCACCGGAAUCACAGGGUUGCAAUCUUAUAUUAAGGAUAUAUGC